UGUUCGGGUUGUCACGCCAGUGGCACUGCCCGGUAGCUAAGUUCGGAAUCGAUAACCGCUGAAAGCAUCUAAGCGGGAAGCGAGCCCUGAGAUGAGUCAUCCCUGACCCCUUGAGGGUCCUAAAGGGCCGUUGGAGACCACAACGUUGAUAGGUGGGGUGUGUAAGCGCGGCGACGUGUUGAGCUAACCCAUACUAAUUACCCGUGAGGCUUAACCAUACAACACCCAAGAAGUGUUCU
rnacentral:rRNA from 1 species